rnacentral:rRNA from 1 species
UACGAAGGGUGCAAGCGUUACUCGGAAUUACUGGGCGUAAAGCGUGCGUAGGUGGUUCGUUAAGUCUGAUGUGAAAGCCCUGGGCUCAACCUGGGAAUGGCAUUUGGGACUGCAAGGCUGGAGUGUGGCAGAGGAGACUGGAAUUCCUGGUGUAGCAGUGAAAUGCGUAGAGAUGUGGAGGAACACCGAUGGCGAAGGCAGCCUCCUGGGCCAGCACUGACGCUCAUGCACGAAAGCGUGGGGAGCAAACAGG